rnacentral:rRNA from 1 species
GGCAUAACACUGAGAAAUUGGUACUAAUUCCCCAUAACAUUCGAAGAGGCAUCUCUUUGGGUUGAAAACUCCGGUGGUUAUGGAUGGGCAUGCGUUGUAUUAGCUAGUUGGUGGGGUAACGGCUCACCAAGGCGACGAUACAUAGGGGGACUGAGAGGUUAACCCCCCACAUUGGUACUGAGACACGGACCAAACUCCUACGGGAGGCAGCAGUGAGGAAUAUUGGUCAAUGGACGCAAGUCUGAACCAGCCAUGCCGCGUGCAGGAUGACGGCUCUAUGAGUUGUAAACUGCUUUUGUACGAGGGUAAACUCACCUACGUGUAGGUGACUGAAAGUAUCGUACGAAUAAGGAUCGGCUAACUCCGUGCCAGCAGCCGCGGUAAUACGGAGGAUUCAAGCGUUAUCCGGAUUUAUUGGGUUUAAAGGGUGCGUAGGCGGUUAGAUAAGUUAGAGGUGAAAUCCCGGGGCUUAACUCCAAAAUUGCCUCUAAUACUGUUUGACUAGAGAGUAGUUGCGGUAGGCGGAAUGUAUGGUGUAGCGGUGAAAUGCUUAGAGAUCAUACAGAACACCGAUUGCGAAGGCAGCUUACCAAACUAUAUCUGACGUUGAGGCACGAAAGCGUGGGGAGCAAACAGGAUUAGAUACCCUGGUAGUCCACGCAGUAAACGAUAAUGGCUCGCUGUCGGCGAUACACAGUCGGUGGCUAAG